rnacentral:misc_RNA from 1 species
AGUCCUACCAAUCUGAGGCCGAUGAAUUGAAAUUAAAUCCCUUCCUCUUCCGGAGAAGGAGGCAUGGGCGGGGUUCAGAAGCACUCCAACCAGCAAAACGUCGCGUCCAGCUCCUCGACCCAGCGCCUUUCCUCUCCGAAGUCCUGAUAUUAUCAAAACCCGGCAGGGAAAGACGUGGGCGAAAUAACGAGCUUUCGUCCGUCUUGCCUAUCGAAUGGAUGCGCUAAUGCAUUUCGAGGGAGCCACCGUGGAAAAUGGCAAGACCCUCAAUACCGAUCCGCCAGCUCGCUCAACUAAAUAAGAAAGCUGUCGUUCGAAACAAUUCGCGGCCCUCAAACAGGCAUGCUCCCCAGAUUAGAUCUGCCGGGAGCGCAAGGUGCGUUCAAAGAUUCGAUGAUUCACUUCUGCAAUUCACAUUACUUAUCGCAAUUCGCUGCGUUCUUCAUCGAUGGGAGAACCAAGAGAUCCGUUGCCAAAAGUUGUUUUUAGAUUUUAGACGACCGCAUUACCAGUCGAGUUUCAUCUACGUUCAAAUCCUAUGGUAUCAACAGUGUUUUUGGUAAAGUGUCGACCGUCUCGCAGAGCGCGGGCGAAAAUGAAUUCGCCGCGCGCACUGUUUGACAGCCAACCGAUGCAACCGUGUUAAAAUGUGGUAGCUCGAUUUAGUUAGACAGGUGCGAGCCACACCUCAAGAAAAAAGGUUUUCAUCGAAAUGAUCCAUCUGCAGGUUCACCUACAGAUACCUUGUUACGACUUUUACUUCCUCUAAAUGACCAAGUUUGUAAGAGUUUGAGCCGUCAGGGUGCCAUUGCUGGCUCCCCGAUGUACUCUCCCAAGUCCUCACUAAGCCAUUCAAUCGGUAGUAGCG